CCAUAGCUCAGAUGGGAGAGCACCUGCUUUGCAAGCAGGGGGUCGGCGGUUCGAUCCCGCCUGGCUCCACCA
rnacentral:tRNA from 1 species